UGGGGGGGUGGGGGGAGGUGGGGGAAAUGGCACCACUGCUCAAAAGGUAAGGGUUAGGUUGGCUACCCUGCUCUGGGUGAUGCCCCCACUGCUCCCAAUAUCCAGAGAACCAGCCCUGUGAUUUCACUCGUGGGGGGAACUGGGGUGGGAAAUGGCCUUCCCUGUGGGAUCUGCACCUGCCCUGUCACUUAGGGGUCUGGGUGCCCCAGGAGGGGGAGACUCGAACACACUGGCACACUGCUCUCCCUAAAAUGAGUCAUUGCCCGUCCGUCCCCCCCCCCCCCCCCCCCCCCCCCCCCCGGCCCAGAUAAACUGAAUGAAUCCCGUGCUCUUGGCACUGAACAGGAUGGAGCAAAAAACAAUCCCUCCCUUGAGUCAGAGCCAGGAAAUUUGCAGCAAUGCUCCAACAUACCCCCCCAUACACUGCUCCCCAUGAGCUCGGGCUAAGCAAGAACCCGGUCCCCAGGGGAGCUGCAGCAGUGCCAGGAGGGCCCCCACCAGCCCCGCCAGACAAGGGACCUCUUCGCCUACCCCAGCCGAAAGGCUGCCAACAAGAGCUCCCUCCCUAGGGGUCCAAGCUCUGCGGGCUCCGCGGCCCACCCACUCCCUGGAUUCUUCCUGGAGGUUUGACCCUUGGAGGAGCCAGGAAAGUUGGGUGCUAAGAGGGACUCGAGGUGCCAGGGGCCCAUGAGUAUGGAGAAGAUCCUGGGGCUCAGGGCCCCUAAGAUAUACUGGGAAGCAACAAAAGUCUCUGACUAAGGGAUAAUUCAGCAAGUUCCCAACUGGCUUAGUCCCAGCCCUCCACACCAGCCGUGCACAGGGCCGAGGAGGAAGGAACAAGAAAGGCGGAAAAAACACAAAGACAAAGCCUCAGAAGCACAUAGUCCAGGAGCCCGUUCCCGCCUACCCUCAGCCUGCCCAGGCUCUCGGAGCCUUCCACAGAAGGAUGGCCAGCAUCUGGCUCGGGGAUGACUCGAGCCCCUUCCAGUUGCCCUGGGAUCCCCAAGGACUCCAUUCUCUGGAACAACUCAAGAAGCCAACGCUUGGGGCAUAAGGAGGGCAACCAGUCUCAAAAAUGGAGCCCACCGGAGGCUGGGAAGGGUUGGGGCUAAGGGGGACGGCUGGGGUGAAUGUCCAGCCCCACAAUUGCCCCCGCCUGCCUGUCAACGACCCAGGGUCUUCCUGGCCACCGUCCUCCACAUCCUGGGACCACACCAGACCUGGAGGCCACAGAGUCUGGGCUUCUGGACCCAGAAGGAACACAACUCGGGGGUGAGCUGGGCUACCUUGGCCUCUAGGUCUGAAUGUUCUUAUCCAAAUAGAGAUGAGUCUGUCAGCCCAAAGCACUAAGGACCUUCAAGUGGGACAGAACUAGGAGCAGCAUCUUCUCUGAGAUCACAAAGCCAAUGAGGGGGAAACUGAGACCUGAGACAAGAAAGGCUCUGGGGCAGUGUGUGGGGUGCUGGGAAGAGCUGGGCAGAAGCCCCAAGUUCCCAUAAGUUUCCACUUGGCCUUGGUAGGGGUUCCCUUAGCUCAUCUCCAGGCUCCUAUCCCCUCGGUUUCUCAUCCAUCGAUAAGAAUGUCCCACUGGUGGAUCUCUAGAUGUCCUCGUGGCUCCUAAAUCUAUAAGGUUGGUCUGGCCCAAGGUCCCCAAGGAGCCAGCGAUGGGACCACAAACCAUCAGGAAGGCGAUCCUGUGGAGAGGCUCGGCCUGGGCAGGAAUUACCCAGCGAGUCCUGCCCAGAGCGGCCGACAUGAGCUUCAGAGGCGGCACGGAGGCCGUGUGGGCGCUGGGAGGCUCAGCCCUGCUCGAGCUGGUGAGGGAUUUCUGGCCACGAGGGGGCCCAAGUCCCCUGCACUCGAGGCUGCAGAUGAAGGGUGGCCUACCUGCCUCCGGAGCCUCUGAGCUGGAGUGGGUGGGGACUCCCAGGAUCGGAGACCCUCAGAGGCAGAGACCCUCCCCUCUCCCCUCCCAUCCUGCCCUGGGGAUGUGAAAUCUCCAACUACAACUUGCAGAAAACAGUUUCCUUUAACCUCAGAUCCCCUUCUAAGGGGCCUCCCUUGACUGGGUCAUCAAUCCAAGCCAAUCCAAUUAUUCAACACCUCCCAUGUACAAGAUACUGUAACAGCUCCUGGGGACGUAAAGUCCAAAGGAAAAAGUCUUUGUUCUUGGAGAACUUCCAUUCUACGAGAGGGACCCGAUGUACCAACAGGAACACAUGCAAUGAUGGAAGGAGAGCACGCACCGAGGGGCUGGGAGCUCGCAGGGGAAGGGAAGGGUCCAAGCCAAGGCACUGGGAUGGGCUGCCAAGGGUGACAACGCACCAAUAGGCUAAUCUGACCAGGAGCAGCCCGCGCAGCCAAGCACCCGGAAGAUGCUCGGCGGUUUAUCGUGGACAGGAAGUGGGGAUGUCGUCCUAAGUGGACGCGGGGUCAGUGGCAACCUUCCAGCAUCCCGAGCCCACUCGAUUCCACGUUCCCACUGAUGCACCAAGAAGUGGGAUGACCUGCCUGGGCUCACAUCACCAAGCCGGGAUUAGAGUUGCCCUUCGUCCUCCCAACCAGGCUUAACGGGGCCAUUCCCGAUUCAAGAGCGAUGCUUGCCUGGCCAGUGGGGGCUCGGUGUGCUGCUGCAUUAGAGAACUGGCACUUCAGGAGGCCAGAGAAAGAAAAAUAGAGGAAACAAAGCUCACGCCCCCAAAGCAGAACCGCCGGAGAGGACUGGGCCGAGUAGUGGCCUGUUCCCCCAGCUACCAAGACAGAGUCUGGCUGCUCUGGGAUACAGGCCAGAGUAUACCCCAGAGACCAGGCUCCUCUGGGAAAGUACCGGAUGCAGCUCAGCCAGAGCUGAAGGCACCUGGAGACCCUCUUCUAGCUAAAAGGCCCAGACCCCAGCAGGGAAGCGAUCACCCAAGUCAGUGCCUGCCGUACAUACAAGAGAAGCAGAGGAAACGAGAGAUAGGAAGGCUUGUCCGGAGCCAGGCUCUUCCACUAACCUGAGCACGGAACCCAGGGAAGACCCUCGCUCAUCCCCUCAUUUGUGAGAGAUGGCAAACUUGGAACCAGAGCCUGGCACCUAGCAGGGGCUUCCUGAACGUUUAAGGCCUGACGGACUGAGACCCAGGGCUCCUCCAGAGAGCCUGCAGUGACACUGGGCCUGGCCCCCAGGGCCCCCAUCUCCCAACUGCUCCCCUUUCCUCUCUCCUCCUAUGGGGCAAGGAACAAAGAAGCAUUCCCUUAAACUGGAAAUCUUCCAUCAAGGUUAUAACCAGGUUCAACCCUGUUAAGGCUCCAGAUGAGACAAGACUGGACACCACCUUGUCCCUCCUCUCCGGCAGCCUGGCCACGGCCCCUGCGAGAACGGGCUUCCCGGGCUUCCUGGCCAAAGGGGCAGAUCCUGGGGGCGGAACAUGGCACCUCGCUUGUUCCACAACAGUCCCGCUGAACUUUUCCCCCCUUUUUAUUCUAAGGAAUGGGACUGGGGUUGGGGGGAGAUGGAGGGUCCCUCUGCUGAUUUAAAAACAAAAGGCAUUACUUUUUUCCUAAAAAUGUAAAUCUCUAGCCUCAGAAGCCUGAGAAAGUGGGAGUUGGGAACUACAAGUUGUUUCUGCUCUAGAAAAGCUGUGACCCGAGCACACCCCCCAGAGAUCCUCGAAGGAGGAAAAGCGCUCGGGGGCCAAAGCGAUUCCCAGGCAAGUCUGGCCCCAAACUGGACACUAUGGGGCGCCACCAACAGCUCCCCAACCGUGGCCCAAGGAAUGCCAUCAAACAGUCCGGCGCUGUAGGAAAUGACAAAACAAGCCGGCCCAGAGCAACGGGGGAUGGGAGGCCCCACAGCUGCUGCGGGCGGACAACGGCCCAGGGAAAGCUCUGGGGACUGCCAUCCCUGCUGCUUUCCCAGGCCCGGAGACACUCCCCACCUGCUGCCAGAUGCUGAGGGAGAUAUCCGGGCUGGAAAUGGUUUGCUCGGAGUCCCUGGAUUUGGUGAAAGGGUUUAAGUGUUUGCUGGGAGGGGAGGUGAGGGGAGGAGUGGAGGACUUGGUUACUAAAGGAAUAGCUAUGAAAAGGCUUAGCGAAAAUAAAGGGAACCACUGAGGAAAGCAGGCCCUGCCCUCGCAUUUCUGAGUUCCUCCAAGGCGGCUCCUGGGAGGACCCGAGCCGGUCUGAGCUGAGGGAGGUGCUCAUCUGUGCUGAAAAAGGCAUCGCAGGCCUGGAGUCAUGCAGAUGGGAAAUAAUAGGUCAGGAUUCAAAUUCAGCUUGGAGGAGGAGGAAGAAAAGCCCGGCCAGUCGGCCGAGGUGGUCAGACAUGUGGCCUGAGGAGAGGGAAGGGCCCAACCCGAAAGGAAACCUGGCAGGGUGGCCCAUAAGCGCUCUGAGGGCAGCCCUGGCCCAUCUGGCUUUCUGGUUUGGCUCUGUGUCCCCCGGACCAGGAACUCCCAAGCUGGAACGUGCCCUCUUGUGCCCACUGUGGCCGGCAGGAGCUCCCCAGAGACCGGUACCCCAGCCCCGCCACCCCCCCUCCCCGGCUUGUUCUCGGGGCGCCUUCCCAAAGCCAAGAAAUACACAAGUCAUUACUUACGAAUGUCUCGGAAAUGGAUAAUGAGCCUGGCCACAAGGGAAAGAUAUUCAUCCUAAAAUUAAAAAACAGGAAGCAGUUUAGUCCAAAUGAAGAAGACAGGCAUCUGUGACUCACCACUUCCCUUCCCUCACCAGAAGGGAGCCCUUCUUCCUGUGGGCCAGCUGAGCCGCACACUGACAGAUGGCAGGGCUGUAGCGCAGGCCCGGCCCCGCGACCCACCGGGGGAGAGAGAGGCGGCCGGCCAAAAAUGGGCCGCAGGAAAGAGGGGGCGAGACGGAGAGAUGCGAAACUGGGGUCGGCCUUCCUGCCUGUUUGCUUCAGCGCCGGCCGUCCCAGCCGGGGGGGCCCUCCGAACACAGGACGUGGAGUGCUUGGGCUGGGAGGAGCCCGGAAGGUCGGAGGUGGAGGGGGCCGGUCUCAUUCUGAAGAAGGGAAGCCGAGGUCCGGGGAGGGGAGGAGAGAGCGGCCCUGCACCUGGGGCCACGGGGCCGGGUUCCAAUCGGGGCCCAGCUACGGGGGAGCAGAUGGAACCUCCCUGUCAACAAUUUUCUCUCCCUUUCCAGAUUUGUUGUCUGAGGAAGGCGGGGUAGGUUAAGCACAAAAGAACCAUUUAUGGAAUCAGUACUGAGGGUACCAAGGAAACUAGCCAUGGGACUGAAGCGGCUCGGGGUGGCCCCCCGGCCCCGGGGCCCUUUCCCAGUUGGAGGGAACAACUCUCCCUUCAGCUACUCUGAAAGGGCUAUAAUCCCAUGGUGAUCCCAGGCAGUGGAGCCUUUUCCAUCCCACAGAAGAAACCGAGUGGUUCUAGUUGGGAGCCAACUUUGUUCUUGGAGCGUGAGCUCAAAACACUGUUCCUGAGUCUUUUCCCUUCCCCAGAUUCCUAAAAGAUUACCUCGAGGACCAGGGAGGGACGGAGGCCGCAGCGCCAGUUUGGAUGCUCUCUGAGCUCGACAUUCCAGAACUCAGAGUAACGUCAAAUAAAGAAAAAUGGUUUCUGGGAGGCUAAGACCCGGCAUUCCGAGCCCAAGUUUUCCCUUCCACAUUUAAGCCCCUUCUCCGAACGGCGCUAACCCCCGCUCUGGGAACCUCCAAGCUGGGGAGGACCCAAAGGAUGUUCCCGCUGCUGAUGCUCCUGUCUAUAAACAUGGCGUAGCCUCUCAGCAGCCAGGAAUAGUGCUCUGCUUGUCCCAUACAGGGCACGUGACUGUGCUGAAGAAGCAGAAGUGACGCCAGCCCCGCUUUACAGAUGAAGAAAGUGAGUCUCAGAGAAAGGAAAAACUCUGUCCAGCUCAGAACCCAGGGUUCAAAUUCUCGUUUGGAACCUUCACAACUGUCUGAGUGCUUCUGGCCCUUUCACAGAUGAGCAAACCGAGUUUCAUCGAUCAUUGAUCCUGGUGCUAGGAGAUAAAGCUGAGACUCCAGCCCACGUCACCAGAGCCUUUCCACCUGCUGCCACCAGGCCCACUGGCCUGGGGUGCCCUCUCAUGCCCCUGCCUGCACCUGAGCUGUGGGCGGCUUGGUCCCUGUGGCCUCCUCCUCUCCUGCGCCUCCCAGCCCAAGCUCACUGUGAGCAGAUGGGGCCCCUGCCCCCUUCACCCCAGCCUCUGGAAACCUCCCCUUCUCACUGUGGCCCCUGAAAUCAUGUGCAGAAAAGCAUGCUGAAGACAGUACGAUGUAAAUGGAAGUUUGCAUGAUUACUUUUAUUGCUGUGAGAGAUGAGCCUCUACAAACAUUUCAUUUUCACAAAAAGACAAGCUAAAAGGGCGGCGUGGAGGAAAGCGUGGGGUUCUGGGCCUGGCGUCACACGGCAAAGGUUCCAGCCUCAGCUCAACCACUAACUGGCUCCGUGGCCCUUUUCCUCCCCCUUCCCAGGAGUCCUGAGCAAGACCCUCCCGGAGGCCACUCAGCCCUCUGCCUUCCCACAAAACCCUCCUGGAGGCUGCUCAGCCCCCUGCCUCCCCGCAGGGCCUCGGCCUCUCUCCCAAACCAAACAGGCCGCAUCAGCAGCGCCUUACCCGUGU